CAGAGCAAUCAUGGGGAUGCAGUGCCCUUUCUAGAUUAGAAAUCAAUGUAAGCACCGAUGGACAAAAUGGCUUGCCUCGAACCUUGUCAUUCAAUACUACGGCGGGUACUGCUAACAUUGGACAGCUUGAGGAUUGUUCUACGUAUAACAUCAACGCAGCAUUUAGAAACAAAGACGAGUUGGGGAUCUCUUCAGAAAUAUUGUCAGUGAGCACAUAUUUGAUACGACCCGCAGGUGUAGAAGCCUUACAUAUGUUACCUUCAACCAGGGUACGUGCUUCAACCACACAAAUUGAAGUGAGCUGGGCACUGUCAUCAAGUCUAUGCUCCCCUGACUACUAUAUCAUACGCUACAGUCUAUAUCAGAAGCUUGCCUGCUCUUCACCAGAAACCAACCAAACAGAGUUUGAAAUUAACACCACCUCUAUACAACAUACUAAUCUAGUGGGGUUGGAGCCUUACUCGCGAUACCAGAUCACAGUUACAGCUGUAAAUGGUGCCGGGCAGAGUGAACCCACGAUCGGCUAUUCAGAUACCAGCCCAGGACCACCAUCCAACAUUACAAACGUCAGGGUUAACCCAGAAAGGACGUCUCCAUCAAGAAUAGGAUUCACCUGGCAACCUCUUACCUGUAGUAAUGUGAAUGGAGUGUUCUGGUACUACUUUACAACAAUCUACGAGCGUGGUGAUCAAAGUAAAACUACGGUUAGGAGGUCA